rnacentral:rRNA from 1 species
CGUCGUGCACGUGUUGAAGCGUUACCGUGAGGAGGCGUGGAGUGUGUGCGAGUGAGAAUGCAGGCAUGAGUAACGAAUUGGAAGGUGAGAAUCCUUCCCGCCGGAUGACUAAGGGUUCCUGGGUCAAGUUCGUCUUCCCAGGGUGAGUCGGGACCUAAGGCGAGGCCGACAGGCGUAGUCGAUGGACAACCAGUUGAUAUUCUGGUACCCGAGUAUAUGCGCCCCUGAUAAAGCACUGAUACUAACCACCGUGCGUUACUGUGAUUAGCCUUCGGGUUAACAUGGUGGCAAGCCGUGGGGCCUGAUGUGUGGUUCAAGCGAUGGGGUGACACAGUGGGGUAGCCAUGCCGCUUAGUGGAUUGUUGGUGUAAGCGUGUAGGUGAUGGUGUAGGUAAAUCCGCACUUGUUAUGCUGAGACGUGAUGCGUAGCCUUAAU